rnacentral:lncRNA from 1 species
CUGCUGUUCUGCUUUACCUUCAAAGGACCUCCAUUACGUGGCAGCAGAUAAGGGUGAGGUGGUGUUAGCCGCUGUAGCCAAGAAGAAGGCUAAUGAAAUAGACGCAGAGGCACAAACAUUGGCACCAGAUGAGUGUCAGUCAGCAUACGAAGGGCAGAGUAGAGUCCAACUACCAUCAACCAUCAGUGAGAGGCAUGUUCACGACCCCAAUCACUGGAGCACUGCAUCAAGGGCUGGAGAAACGUCAACCUCUGAGGCUACAGAUGACUUCUCGAACACCCUCACAAGUCAUCGCACCUGGCCUUGGAAACACACAGGUGUGUUCUUUUGAAUACAAGUCCGCUUGA